rfam:Clostridiales bacterium 42_27 Ley3_66761_scaffold_11842, whole genome shotgun sequence.
UUAAAUACAAUGAUAAGGAAUAGUAGAAUAUUUAAGACAUUCAGAGAGUUGCUGGAUGGUGCGAAGCAAUUGUUGAUGAUAUUUGAACUCGCCUUUGAGUAGCAUGCUGAACUUACAGUAGGUAUUGCCGGAGUCCAACCGUUAUAAUGGAGAGAUAUCGGUUUUAUAACCCGUAUCAGUAAGAAGUGCACGUUUCUUUAUAACGUGAAUUAGAGUGGUACCGCGGAAGUUUCUUCGUCUCUAUC